rnacentral:rRNA from 1 species
AAACCAGCACCUCAAGUGGUCAGGAUGAUUAUUGGGCCUAAAGCAUCCGUAGCCUGUUCUGUAAGUUUUCGGUUAAAUCCAUUAGCUCAACUAAUGGGCCGCCGAAAAUACUGUAGAACUAGGGAGUGGGAGAGGUAGACGGUAUUCGGUAGGAAGGGGUAAAAUCCUUUGAUCUAUUGAGGACCACCUGUGGCGAAGGCGGUCUACCAGAACACGUUCGACGGUGAGGGAUGAAAGCUGGGGGAGCAAACCGGAUUAGAAACCCAAGUAGUCC